rnacentral:rRNA from 1 species
GAUGAACGCUGGCGGCGUGCCUAAUACAUGCAAGUCGAACGAAACUUCUUUAUCACCGAGUGCUUGCACUCACCGAUAAAGAGUUGAGUGGCGAACGGGUGAGUAACACGUGGGCAACCUGCCCAAAAGAGGGGGAUAACACUAGGAAACAGGUGCUAAUACCGCAUAACCAUAGUUACCGCAUGGUAACUAUGUAAAAGGUGGCUAUACUACCGCUUUUGGAUGGGCCCGCGGCGCAUUAGCUAGUUGGUAGGGUAAAGGCUUACCAAGGCAAUGAUGCGUAGCCGAAUUGAGAGGUUGAUCGGCCACAUUGGGACUGAGACACGGCCCAAACUCCUACGGGAGGCAGCAGUAGGGAAUCUUCCACAAUGGGCGAAAGCCUGAUGGAGCAACGCCGCGUGGGUGAAGAAGGUCUUCGGAUCGUAAAACCCUGUUGUUAGAGAAGAAAGUGCGUGAGAGUAACUGUUCACGUUUCGACGGUAUCUAACCAGAAAGCCACUGCUAACUACGUG